rnacentral:tRNA from 1 species
GCCUGGGUGGCUCAGUCGGUUAAGCGUCCGACUUCGGUUCAGGUCAUGAUCUCACGGUUCGUGGGUUCGAGCCCCGCGUCGGGCU